UGCUUAACACAUGCAAGUCGAACGGAAAGGCCCUGCUUUUGUGGGGUGCUCGAGUGGCGAACGGGUGAGUAACACGUGAGUAACCUGCCCUUGACUUUGGGAUAACUUCAGGAAACUGGGGCUAAUACCGGAUAGGAGCUCCUGCUGCAUGGUGGGGGUUGGAAAGUUUCGGCGGUUGGGGAUGGACUCGCGGCUUAUCAGCUUGUUGGUGGGGUAGUGGCUUACCAAGGCUUUGACGGGUAGCCGGCCUGAGAGGGUGACCGGCCACAUUGGGACUGAGAUACGGCCCAGACUCCUACGGGAGGCAGCAGUGGGGAAUAUUGCACAAUGGGCGGAAGCCUGAUGCAGCAACGCCGCGUGCGGGAUGACGGCCUUCGGGUUGUAAACCGCUUUCGCCUGUGACGAAGCGUGAGUGACGGUAAUGGGUAAAGAAGCACCGGCUAACUACGUGCCAGCAGCCACGGUGAUACGUAGGGUGCGAGCGUUGUCCGGAUUUAUUGGGCGUAAAGGGCUCGUAGGUGGUUGAUCGCGUCGGAAGUGUAAUCUUGGGGCUUAACCCUGAGCGUGCUUUCGAUACGGGUUGACUUGAGGAAGGUAGGGGAGAAUGGAAUUCCUGGUGGAGCGGUGGAAUGCGCAGAUAUCAGGAGGAACACCAGUGGCGAAGGCGGUUCUCUGGGCCUUUCCUGACGCUGAGGAGCGAAAGCGUGGGGAGCGAACAGGCUUAGAUACCCUGGUAGUCCACGCUGUAAACGGUGGGUACUAGGUGUGGGGUCCAUUCCACGGGUUCCGUGCCGUAGCUAACGCUUUAAGUACCCCGCCUGGGGAGUACGGCCGCAAGGCUAAAACUCAAAGGAAUUGACGGGGCCCCGCACAAGCGGCGGAGCAUGCGGAUUAAUUCGAUGCAACGCGUAGAACCUUACCUGGGUUUGACAUGGAUCGGGAGUGCUCAGAGAUGGGUGUGCCUCUUUUGGGGUCGGUUCACAGGUGGUGCAUGGCUGUCGUCAGCUCGUGUCGUGAGAUGUUGGGUUAAGUCCCGCAACGAGCGCAACCCUUGUUCACUGUUGCCAGCACGUUAUGGUGGGGACUCAGUGGAGACCGCCGGGGUCAACUCGGAGGAAGGUGGGGAUGACGUCAAGUCAUCAUGCCCCUUAUGUCCAGGGCUUCACGCAUGCUACAAUGGCUGGUACAGAGAGUGGCGAGCCUGUGAGGGUGAGCGAAUCUCGGAAAGCCGGUCUCAGUUCGGAUUGGGGUCUGCAACUCGACCUCAUGAAGUCGGAGUCGCUAGUAAUCGCAGAUCAGCAACGCUGCGGUGAAUACGUUCCCGGGGCUUGUACACACCGCCCGUCAAGUCAUGAAAGUUGGUAACACCCGAAGCCGGUGGCCUAACCGAUGUGGGGGAGCCGUCGAAGGUGGGACUGGUGAUUAGG
rnacentral:rRNA from 1 species